UACGAAGGGGGCUAGCGUUGUUCGGAAUUACUGGGCGUAAAGCGCACGUAGGCGGCGAUUUAAGUCAGAGGUGAAAGCCCGGGGCUCAACCCCGGAAUAGCCUUUGAGACUGGAUUGCUUGAAUCCGGGAGAGGUGAGUGGAAUUCCGAGUGUAGAGGUGAAAUUCGUAGAUAUUCGGAAGAACACCAGUGGCGAAGGCGGCUCACUGGACCGGCAUUGACGCUGAGGUGCGAAAGCGUGGGGAGCAAACAGG
rnacentral:rRNA from 1 species